AACGAACGCUGGCGGCAGGCUUAACACAUGCAAGUCGAGCGAGACCUUCGGGUCUAGCGGCGGACGGGUGAGUAACGCGUGGGAACGUGCCCUUCUCUACGGAAUAGCCCCGGGAAACUGGGAGUAAUACCGUAUACGCCCUUUGGGGGAAAGAUUUAUCGGAGAAGGAUCGGCCCGCGUUGGAUUAGGUAGUUGGUGGGGUAAUGGCCCACCAAGCCGACGAUCCAUAGCUGGUUUGAGAGGAUGAUCAGCCACACUGGGACUGAGACACGGCCCAGACUCCUACGGGAGGCAGCAGUGGGGAAUCUUAGACAAUGGGGGCAACCCUGAUCUAGCCAUGCCGCGUGAGUGAUGAAGGCCUUAGGGUUGUAAAGCUCUUUCAGCUGGGAAGAUAAUGACGGUACCAGCAGAAGAAGCCCCGGCUAACUCCGUGCCAGCCGCCGCCGUAACAC
rnacentral:rRNA from 1 species